rnacentral:pre_miRNA from 1 species
ACGUGUAGGUACUAGUAGUGCGUUUCAGCUCCCCGAAAAAAAUUCAGGAAAAAUUAAGGACACCCUGUAGGUGCACUGUAGAGCCGUAUUCGGAC